rnacentral:tRNA from 1 species
AAAGGGAGACCUAAUUCGGGUAUAAGACGAAAAAAUAGUAGUCGAAACCAAGAAUCAAUCCCAAAAGGUCGGAGCGAGGCGAAAUUGGCUUUCAAACUAGGUUCUGGGUUCACAGAAGACCUGAAUCAGGAACAAGGGCUAUUAGCUCAGGUGGUUAGAGCGCACCCCUGAUAAGGGUGAGGUCCCUGGUUCGAGUCCAGGAUGGCCCACCUGCACAGGUGGUAAAAACAAGAGAAGCGAGGAAUCAGCACCUUAUCUUACUUACAUAGUAAGAGAGAGUGCUGGCUCUGAGUAAAGAGUCCAGAGGAACCUUGAAAACUGCAUAGAGCUAGGUGAAAAAGCCAAAAAAGAAGACCGCAAG